UAAUUUUUACGUUUAAUAAUUUCAAUAUCAAAUCAUUCUUUUUGUUUUAUAUUAAUAAAUUUUAUUUAUUCUAAGCAUCUAUGAAAUCGUUAAAAUAUUAUAUUUACAUGAUGCAGUAGGUCUUUGUUAAUCAUUAUUCUGAUACGAUCAAAAAAUUGAUUUAUACGGAAAAAGCAAAGGACAUCAUCUUAAGAUAGUAAUGUCAUAGAGAAUGAUCUGGAGGAAUAGAAAUAGUUUUAUUCGAACUAACCAAGCAAAGCGAAAAACUAAAUCUUGUAAAGACAUUAUUCGCGUAUUAAAAUUAUUUUUCUGAGUUGAUUACUAAACAUAAUAUAAUUUAAUAUUCUACAGAGUAAAUUUGUGUCAACGAUGCUUUUAUCGGAGAACUAACAAGACAACAAGAUCCGAGAUACUAUGAAGCUGUACCUUUUUUACUAAUUAGAUUUAAAGAAAAAAAAAUGUACAGUACGAGUAAUAAAGUUAUUAUGAAUAUA